GUACUUGUACCGACUGGAUGAGCAGCGAACGGGUGAGUAACGCGUGGGGAAUCUGCCUUUGAGCGGGGGACAACAUUUGGAAACGAAUGCUAAUACCGCAUAAAAACUUUAAACACAAGUUUUAAGUUUGAAAGAUGCAAUUGCAUCACUCAAAGAUGAUCCCGCGUUGUAUUAGCUAGUUGGUGAGGUAAAGGCUCACCAAGGCGAUGAUACAUAGCCGACCUGAGAGGGUGAUCGGCCACAUUGGGACUGAGACACGGCCCAAACUCCUACGGGAGGCAGCAGUAGGGAAUCUUCGGCAAUGGACGAAAGUCUGACCGAGCAACGCCGCGUGAGUGAAGAAGGUUUUCGGAUCGUAAAACUCUGUUGGUAGAGAAGAACGUUGGUGAGAGUGGAAAGCUCAUCAAGUGACGGUAACUACCCAGAAAGGGACGGCUAACUACGUGCCAGCAGCCGCGGUAAUACGUAGGUCCCGAGCGUUGUCCGGAUUUAUUGGGCGUAAAGCGAGCGCAGGUGGUUUAUUAAGUCUGGUGUAAAAGGCAGUGGCUCAACCAUUGUAUGCAUUGGAAACUGGUAGACUUGAGUGCAGGAGAGGAGAGUGGAAUUCCAUGU
rnacentral:rRNA from 1 species